GCUUCCUUUUCUGUAAAUUAUUGUGACCAUACACUUAAUGUUUUUUUUUUAAUAAGCAGUGAUCUGUAAUUAAUAACCAUUCAAAGUAAAAAUGACCUAUCAGAGACAUCAUUAUCAGCCAUAGCCAAGCACUGAGUACCCUAUGACUGUGUGACACCUUGUGUGUUAGAAAACUCCCCACCUCCUAGCCACAUUUAGGUCAUAACACUGGAUUUGUGAUUUAAACUUUCUUGAGAAUGAGGCCAUGUGAUUCAAUGGGUAAUUCAGAGAAAGCCUAACAU
rnacentral:lncRNA from 1 species